ACUUAAUUGUGUGGACUCCUUUAAUAUGAGGUAGAAAUGCAUCAUCCAAAGUAUGAAGAAAAAAGAGUUGCAAUAUUUAGACUGUCGUGACAUCAGAACAAUGAAGGAGGAUCUUCCUGGCUUGAUUAGUACAUAUGAAAAAGUGAUGUCUGCAACAGGACUCUGAAGAACACCAGCCUGUAUUAAUUCUACUAUGUAGAAGAGGUUAACAAUCUUCUCACAGAUCGUGAAGGUAAAUGAUAUGCCCAGUUGUACCCAGCAAUGUGGGAGAUACCUCUUUAGAUGGCUGAUUAUGCUACAAAGAAUGCAGAAGUGUUGGAGGAAGAACUGUUGUAUGUGUUCCGUUGAAAUAAAGGAAGACUUCUAUGCAAUAAUAAUCUCAUUAUGCAAGAGAGAAAGAAUGUUGGUCUGUAGCUACACCACACACCUACAAAUUCGAACAAAGCAGAGAACUCAUGGCGAAGUUCCAUUGCAGACAGACUAUAUACUGAUGAUGCAAGCAGGAACAGGCUAUAAAGGAGGAACUUAGAAAAGCUGACCAGAUGUGAAGGGAUGGUGUCAGGAAAAUUCAAGUUCAACUAGAGCGAAGACCAAUAAGGGGCACAGGACAAAAAAUGUUUCUGCAAGUACAUUACAAGGUAACCCAGACCACUGCACUUAGUGCCAGGGCUCAAGGAGGAGAGUUACCUCUGGAUGUAGACCAAGUGAAGGAUAACUGGACCAAUACAAGUUCAUGGGAGCAUUCAAGGGUGAUGAUUACUUGGCCUUCAAAA
rnacentral:lncRNA from 1 species